UCAAUUAAAGAAAUACCAAAUAGGUCCCACCUUCUUACCCACUAUUCACACAGACACACACGUAGGGAGAUAAAUGCUUAAGCUUGGGUGAGGAUUGAAGUAAAAAAAUUUCCUGCUGAACUUGUGUCUGCACUAUUUAUUCUUUGAUAGAUACAUAAGGAUUUUUCAUUAGAAGGGAAUCAUAGAGUGCCAACAGUAUAAAGGCAUGCAUUAAUACUUUAGUAAAACAACCAUUAAUUAACAUUGAUCAUCCAGUAUGUUUCAGUUUUAGAAAAGCAUGAACUGCUUAUAUUUCUUGGUUGAGUAACCAGGUUCUACUAGGGUUAACCAUUAAAUUCAAUUUUAAUAUGCUGAAAUUUGUUUCGGUGUCUGCAAUGUGUAAUUGGUAUUAGAGAGGGAUAAGUUCCAAACACGCGCUCAUAUCCAGGUCUUACUCAUAACUCUUAAGAUAUACUAGCACAAAAAAUGCUAUAUGCCUUACAUCUUUGUAGAAAUACUUCAAGUACAAAGAAACAUACCAUAAAUUGAAAUUAUAAUAAAUUUAAACUCUUUGCAUAAGAUACCGGUCAUCUUUGCCAAGGUGGAAAGCCAUGUAACACAUUAGCAAAAGAAUAUAAUAAAGGAACAAGGUAGAAAGAAUCAAAGAAUAGAUAAAGUUCCCAAGAAGCCCAAGCUAUAAAGACUUUUAACUGAUUAUUUUUUUGGGUACGUAUAACUUUAAUUGAAUAUAAGUAUAUUGUAGUUCCCCCCAAGUUUAUAACUGACUGACAAAAACAGAUAAGAAAAAGUUAAUCUUGCAAUUGUAAAUGCUAAUAAAUAUUCAAAUCUAAUAGACUCGGACAUCUAGCUUCUUUUCAACAAAGUAACAUAGCCUAUCUUCUAUUCCCAGCCAUCCCUCCAAUAUAUCUCCUUAGCACCAGCUAUUGCUAAAGUGAAAAGCAGUUCCAUAAUUUUCUUAGAUCUGCUAAGUGUAUUGCACCAUCUACUGAUAGAGUGAUAGAUAUCUAACCAAAAAAAAUCACAUAGCUUUAUGUUCUUAACCUUUUCCAUGGAUAGGUCCCUAACAAAAUGAUUUGCACUAGUGAAGAUGUCCAAGACAUGCCAUUCCUACUAGUAAUGUGUCCAGGACAUGCAUUAAAAAUAAAAAUUUAAGGACAUGAAGGAUGGGCAAGAUGGCAUGCUGGACAAGUCUAAUCACAUUUAAUAGAGAUAUGCCAGCCAAUCCUUCCUAGUACCAAGUAAGAAAUUGCAAUUAGUCAAUAAUCAAAUACUCUAUAGAGAGACUAAGGGCCUGUUCUUCAGCUCAUGGAAAAUUUUCCAAAUUUUUGGAAAAAAUAAAUAAAUAUGGAAAAAUGAUUGCAUUCAAGUUGAAGUAUUUUCUAAACUUGAAAUGGAAAAAUGGAGGACAUCAACUUCGAGGGAGAGAGAGAGAGAGAGAGAGGUGAAAAUUUGGUGAGAGAAGAGCCAGGAAAAGCCAAUUUAACUACUCUUGAGGGGGAACAGAAGAGGCAGAAUGGAGAAACUGUAUUUCGUUACAAAGUUCACAAAUGGCAGAAUGGAAAAGGUUCUUCUGCUUCCCCUUGCCACUCAAGAAUUGGCAUGAGAGGCCCCUCUUCAGUGUCAAACCUCAAGCAUGGAAGACCCUCUUCCAGGUCACUAAUUCACUAUUCAUUUCAUCUGUGUAUUCGAUGGAAAAUGAAACCUAAGAAAAUAUUGGAACCCCCCCCCCCCCCCCCCGCCCCACAACACCCAUCCCCAUAGAAUAACUCACCAGAAUUCCCCUAGUUUAUUGAGAAAAAUUAUACACGUUACUAGUGAAGGAUCAGAAAUUCUGGUUAAUGCACCUAACACCAAAAUAUUUUAGAUCACAAUUAUCCAUCCUAAAAGGUAAAUCCAGCCUCCAGAAAGAUACAUAAACUAUCAAGAAAAUACCGCUGCGGUUCAUGGAUUUACAAAACCGUAGUCAAGUACAUAUAUAACAGAAUUA